AGUGAACGCUGGCGGUAGGCCUAACACAUGCAAGUCGAACGGCAGCACAGUAAGAGCUUGCUCUUACGGGUGGCGAGUGGCGGACGGGUGAGGAAUACAUCGGAAUCUACUUUUUCGUGGGGGAUAACGUAGGGAAACUUACGCUAAUACCUCAUACGACCUACGGGUGAAAGCAGGGGAUCUUCGUACCUUUGCUGAUUCAAUGAGCCGAUGUCGGAUUAGCUAGUUGGCGGGGUAAAGGCCCACCAAGGCGACGAUCCGUAGCUGGUCUGAGAGGAUGAUCGGCCACACUGGAACUGAGACACGGUCCAGACUCCUACGGGAGGCAGCAGUAGGGAAUAUUCGGCAAUGGGCGCAAGCCUGAUCCAGCCAUACCGCGUGGGUGAAGAAGGCCUUCGGGUUGUAAAGCCCUUUUGUUGGGAAAGAAAAGCAGCAGAUUAAUCUCCCGCUGUUCUGACGGUACCCAAAGAAUAAGCACCGGCUAACUUCGUG
rnacentral:rRNA from 1 species